rnacentral:rRNA from 1 species
UGCAAGUCGAACGAACUCUGGUAUUGAUUGGGUGCUUGCAUCAUGAUUUACAUUUGAGUGAGUGGCGAACUGGUGAGUAACACGUGGGAAACCUGCCCAGAAGCGGGGGAUAACACCUGGAAACAGAUGCUAAUACCGCAUAACAACUUGGACCGCAUGGUCCGAGCUUGAAAGAUGGCUUCGGCUAUCACUUUUGGAUGGUCCCGCGGCGUAUUAGCUAGAUGGUGGGGUAACGGCUCACCAUGGCAAUGAUACGUAGCCGACCUGAGAGGGUAAUCGGCCACAUUGGGACUGAGACACGGCCCAAACUCCUACGGGAGGCAGCAGUAGGGAAUCUUCCACAAUGGACGAAAGUCUGAUGGAGCAACGCCGCGUGAGUGAAGAAGGGUUUCGGCUCGUAAAACUCUGUUGUUAAAGAAGAACAUAUCUGAGAGUAACUGUUCAGGUAUUGACGGUAUUUAACCAGAAAGCCACGGCUAACUACGUGCCAGCAGCCGCGGUAAUACGUAGGUGGCAAGCGUUGUCCGGAUUUAUUGGGCGUAAAGCGAGCGCAGGCGGUUUUUUAAGUCUGAUGUGAAAGCCUUCGGCUCAACCGAAGAAGUGCAUCGGAAACUGGGAAACUUGAGUGCAGAAGAGGACAGUGGAACUCCAUGUGUAGCGGUGAAAUGCGUAGAUAUAUGGAAGAACACCAGUGGCGAAGGCGGCUGUCUGGUCUGUAACUGACGCUGAGGCUCGAAAGUAUGGGUAGCAAACAGGAUUAGAUACCCUGGUAGUCCAUACCGUAAACGAUGAAUGCUAAGUGUUGGAGGGUUUCCGCCCUUCAGUGCUGCAGCUAACGCAUUAAGCAUUCCGCCUGGGGAGUACGGCCGCAAGGCUGAAACUCAAAGGAAUUGACGGGGGCCCGCACAAGCGGUGGAGCAUGUGGUUUAAUUCGAAGCUACGCGAAGAACCUUACCAGGUCUUGACAUACUAUGCAAAUCUAAGAGAUUAGACGUUCCCUUCGGGGACAUGGAUACAGGUGGUGCAUGGUUGUCGUCAGCUCGUGUCGUGAGAUGUUGGGUUAAGUCCCGCAACGAGCGCAACCCUUAUUAUCAGUUGCCAGCAUUAAGUUGGGCACUCUGGUGAGACUGCCGGUGACAAACCGGAGGAAGGUGGGGAUGACGUCAAAUCAUCAUGCCCCUUAUGACCUGGGCUACACACGUGCUACAAUGGAUGGUACAACGAGUUGCGAACUCGCGAGAGUAAGCUAAUCUCUUAAAGCCAUUCUCAGUUCGGAUUGUAGGCUGCAACUCGCCUACAUGAAGUCGGAAUCGCUAGUAAUCGCGGAUCAGCAUGCCGCGGUGAAUACGUUCCCGGGCCUUGUACACACCGCCCGUCACACCAUGAGAGUUUGUAACACCCAAAGUCGGUGGGGUAACCUUUUAGGAACCA